GCCCCGAUGGUCCAAUGGUCAAGACGGCGAUGCCUCUUACAGUCUCAACUAAAAUUGAGAUUGAAGGGGGUAUUUCGGAUCCGGGUUCGAUUCCCGGUCGGGGUA